GGGGGUCAUAUUCAGAAUUUUUUUUACAUGUUUAUUUUAUUUUUGAACGCAAUCGAUCAGAUUAUUUUUAACACUUUAAAAGUUUUUGGGGAAUUUGCAUACAGAAUAUGACUAGAAUAUUUUUUUUCAUCAAAUUAGGGAUCAGAAUAUUUUUGUAUCCCCCUUGUUUUUUUUUAAUUUAAAUGGUCGUUCCCUUACAUAAUUUAAAUUUUGCAUAGCUUCCCUAGAACUUAAGAAAUAUUUUUUUUUAAAUGUUCUGUUACUUUUUUUUUUUGGGUCCAUACCGUACCGGCUCAAGCGAGAAAAUCAAUCUCGUUGAGAUGAUCAACGAAAACUAUAAUUGUAAG
rnacentral:lncRNA from 1 species